UUGAACGCUGGCGGCAGGCCUAACACAUGCAAGUCGAACGGUAACAGGAAGAAGCUUGCUUCUUUGCUGACGAGUGGCGGACGGGUGAGUAAUGUCUGGGAAACUGCCUGAUGGAGGGGGAUAACUACUGGAAACGGUAGCUAAUACCGCAUAACGUCGCAAGACCAAAGAGGGGGACCUUCGGGCCUCUUGCCAUCGGAUGUGCCCAGAUGGGAUUAGCUAGUAGGUGGGGUAACGGCUCACCUAGGCGACGAUCCCUAGCUGGUCUGAGAGGAUGACCAGCCACACUGGAACUGAGACACGGUCCAGACUCCUACGGGAGGCAGCAGUGGGGAAUAUUGCACAAUGGGCGCAAGCCUGAUGCAGCCAUGCCGCGUGUAUGAAGAAGGCCUUCGGGUUGUAAAGUACUUUCAGCGGGGAGGAAGGGAGUAAAGUUAAUACCUUUGCUCAUUGACGUUACCCGCAGAAGAAGCACCGGCUAACUCCGUGCCAGCAGCCGCGGUAAUACGGAGGGUGCAAGCGUUAAUCGGAAUUACUGGGCGUAAAGCGCACGCAGGCGGUUUGUUAAGUCAGAUGUGAAAUCCCCGGGCUCAACCUGGGAACUGCAUCUGAUACUGGCAAGCUUGAGUCUCGUAGAGGGGGGUAGAAUUCCAGGUGUAGCGGUGAAAUGCGUAGAGAUCUGGAGGAAUACCGGUGGCGAAGGCGGCCCCCUGGACGAAGACUGACGCUCAGGUGCGAAAGCGUGGGGAGCAAACAGGAUUAGAUACCCUGGUAGUCCACGCCGUAAACGAUGUCGACUUGGAGGUUGUGCCCUUGAGGCGUGGCUUCCGGAGCUAACGCGUUAAGUCGACCGCCUGGGGAGUACGGCCGCAAGGUUAAAACUCAAAUGAAUUGACGGGGGCCCGCACAAGCGGUGGAGCAUGUGGUUUAAUUCGAUGCAACGCGAAGAACCUUACCUGGUCUUGACAUCCACGGAAGUUUUCAGAGAUGAGAAUGUGCCUUCGGGAACCGUGAGACAGGUGCUGCAUGGCUGUCGUCAGCUCGUGUUGUGAAAUGUUGGGUUAAGUCCCGCAACGAGCGCAACCCUUAUCCUUUGUUGCCAGCGGUCCGGCCGGGAACUCAAAGGAGACUGCCAGUGAUAAACUGGAGGAAGGUGGGGAUGACGUCAAGUCAUCAUGGCCUUUACGACCAGGGCUACACACGUGCUACAAUGGCGCAUACAAAGAGAAGCGACCUCGCGAGAGCAAGCGGACCUCAUAAAGUGCGUCGUAGUCCGGACUGGAGUCUGCAACUCGACUCCAUGAAGUCGGAAUCGCUAGUAAUCGUGGAUCAGAAUGCCACGGUGAAUACGUUCCCGGGCCUUGUACACACCGCCCGUCACACCAUGAGAGCCGGGGGGACCCGAAGUCGGUAGUCUAACCGCAAGGAGGACGCCGCCGAAGGUAAAACUGGUGAUUGGGGUG
rnacentral:rRNA from 1 species